UUUGAGAUGAGCAUUUCUGUUCCUCCAUCGUAGCUGUCUUCGUAUGCAGAAUAUGUACUUUCGUUCCAUAAGAUGGUUCUUUUAAGGAAGUCCAAUUGUUCGGUUUUUCCUAAGCUAUCUUCUAAUGGUAAUCUUGUUUCUUGUAGGAGGACUAUGUUGGGUUGUGGUUGAAUGUUUCAAAAUAGAUCUCUAAUUUCUCGGCAUUUGCGAGUGCCUUCCAGUUCUCUUCCGAGGCACUGUACAUUGUAUGAUGCUAUUGUGAUCGAUUCAGACAUCUAUGUAUGUCUGUGCUGCUUGCGUGGCCUCGAGUAUAGAUCCAACCGUCAUAGUGGGGCGUGGGCUAGAGUUUGGGUAGUCAACAGAGAGAGACUUUGGUUUCAGGAUGAGGUCUAGGUGUUUGUGCCAGUCUGUCGGGAGGGAGCUUUGUAAACUCUGCAAUAGUGGUAACUCGAGAUCUAGCUCUGUUGAAAUUUCGAGUCUUUUCUACCGUGUCGUGUUGGGAUGCUUGAUUUUGGUUACUUCCGAGUUAUAUGAGAUUAGCGAGUACCAUUCCAUACUUGGGUCGUUGUUGUUUUUUGGUGGGCUCGGGAGCCAUAUUGCAUCGGACCGUUGUCUCAUUGGAUUGCUUCCACUGUUCCGGUUGAUUACUUGCGCAAGGCUUGCAUUGCAGUGUUCGUCAUAUGGAGUCGGGCACCUGCUUGAGACCACUGUGACUCUCCUUCUGUGUGUUGGAUGUCCACAGUACAGAGUCUUGCUUGUUUAUGUUCCUUAGCUGGUUUUGGAAUGGGGCAGUUACGAACCUGGUGUGUAGUGCUUCUGCAUCGAUUGCAUUGGGUGGGCAGCCCGUUGUAUUCAAGAGUGGGGAGGCCAUGGAUUUGUGCCCAUGCUGGAUGGGCCAGUCGGGAAUUUGGGUCUGUGCCAGCUCUGGGGUUGAAGUUGGAGCGCCACGGAGUGAAGCAAACUUCUGUUUGAUUGAUGUAGUGCUGUCUGGCAAGGGCGUGUGUUCGACCCUCUUCUUCCGCAAAGAAUAUUUCGAAGAAGCCUCCUCCUAACAUGGAGAGUGAUUGGAAUGAUCCAUGGAGGGAUUUUUGGGCCCACUCUCUCAGUAUUUGCGGUCCAGGGUUGCGGGGGACAUGUCCAAUUAGGGCUUUGCGACUCAUACGAUUGGCCCUGUCUUGUAGUUCCUGUAGGGUGGUGUGGGAUAGAGUAAUUGUCUUGACCUUGUUUUGGUUUGAUUUGUAGCCUCCUAGCUCUUGGGGUGUGAUUCCACAGAUAGAUAGUAAGGAGUCUGCAUCUGGCGUUAGCUUACUUAGGAUGUUCCUUAGCUCUCCCCCCACUGUCGCCCGGUGGGUUAGCCCAAGUUGUGGGUUGGCUUGUAUGAAUUGCUCAGUAUCUUCGUAGCGUGAAUGUAGGAGUUGUUUGAGGUUUCUGAGGGCUUGAACCGCAAAGUUGUUCAGUAUUGUUACCAUAUCUUCACUUGCAGUUGUCGCCUCUGGGAUGUGGGCACUGCUAUUGGUAAGCGGGGUAUGUGAUGUAGUUGUUUUGGAGGAGUAGAAUGUGGCUGUUCAGCGAUUAGAUGGCCGUCUGCUGCGUGUUGUGUCACAUCCAUGAGGAGUGUCCGUUAUCUGCGUUUGAUCCUCUCUACCAUAAACAUUUUGUGUUACCGUC